rnacentral:rRNA from 1 species
GAGUUUGAUCUUGGCUCAGAUUGAACGCUGGCGGCAUGCCUUACACAUGCAAGUCGAACGGCAGCACGGGAGCUUGCUCCUGGUGGCGAGUGGCGAACGGGUGAGUAAUGCAUCGGAACGUAUCCUGGAGUGGGGGGAUAACGUAGCGAAAGUUACGCUAAUACCGGCAUAUUCUGUGAGCAGGAAAGCGGGGACCUUCGGGCCUCGCGCUCUUGGAGCGGCCGAUGUCGGAUUAGCUAGUUGGUGAGGUAAAGGCUCACCAAGGCGACGAUCCGUAGCAGGUCUGAGAGGAUGAUCUGCCACACUGGAACUGAGACACGGU